AACGCAUAUUGCGCUCCCUGGUAUUCCGGGGAGCAUACCUGUUUGAGUAUCAGUAACACCCUCUACCGAGAAAAAUCUAUGCAAUUAUUCAUUGCAUAGAUCUUUCGUAGGUUGGACUUGGAUGCAUCUUUUUUCUUUGGAAUAAAAGUCUUCCGAAAUCCAUAGAACAUUUCCGUGGCAGAAAGCCCCCAUGAGAAAAUAUAAGCGUGACAAAAGCCCCCCUCCUUGUGAGUGUGUGUGUUUAGCCCGCUUUGUUUUUAAAAAAACUCAUGAGGUGAUAUCUCCAAGGAACCCUGUUCCAUCAGAAAACCCUCAAAAAAAGAAGACAGGGGAAAUUGGGCAAAGAACCAAAAUUUUUUGCUCUCUCUCUCCCCUCCCUCUGUUUUUGAAUUCUUGAUCUCAAAUCAGGCAAGACUACCCGCUGAACUUAA
rnacentral:misc_RNA from 1 species